rnacentral:lncRNA from 1 species
GGUGAGCUGAGAUUGCGCCAUUGCACUCCAGCCUGGGCCACAAAGUGAAACUCCGUCUCAAAACAAAAACAAAAACAAAAACAAAAACAAAAAAACUCACUGAAUACAAACAACGUAUCUCCUUUCUUCCAAUUUUAAGUCUUUUUCUAGUAGCUCCUGCUGUGUACAUGUGGUUUGUUGUUAAUAUUGGCAUAUUACAGUAUUCUAAAUUAUUUUAUUUUCUUUUAGAAAGGGUCUCACUCUGUCACCCAGGCUGGAGUGCUGUGAUACAAACAUGGCUCAUUGCAGCCUCAACCUCCUGGGCUCAAGCAAUCCUCCAGCCUCAACCUUCCAAGUUGCUGGGACCACAGGCACAUGUUACCACACCCACCUAAUUUUUUUUAAAUUAUGUUAUUCACACUUUUUUUUAGGAUGAUUAGAGAUUAGGGCUCAGGAGCAGUGGAACAUAACUUUGAGGAAAUGCAAUAAGUUCAGAAGAAGAUGUGGUGACAAGAAAGCUGUAAGGAGGCUAUAUGCUGUAGAGAUAAAUGCCCAAGCUUUGGAAGCAAACAAGCCUCUGUUCAAAUCCUGGCUCUGCCCUUAUAACGUAUGUACAAAUUAUUAAAGUGCUUAGUACAGUGCCUAUCGUAUAACAGAUAUGUUGGCUCUCAUUACUUUUUCUUUCAACCCAUAUGUGGAAGCUUGCCCAGUGUGGAAGGUAUCAAUAAUUUGAAAACUGUAGCUUAGAGGUAGCUUUGGGAUAUAGUUAAUAAUAUGGUAUCAAAAACAUGUACUUCCUACUUAAUAAUUUGUUUGCAGGGAAUGUUGAAGAAAGAAUGUUGAACUCUUGAUUAGAUUUAGUAAUGGACUGUCAAAACAGUAACGCUUUCCAAUAAGUGACAAGAUCUGUAGCUGGAUUUGAAUGUGUGUGCUACUUGUUCUGUUCCAAGCACAUAAAAGGAAUUAUCUGUAUGGGCUCAGUUAUCCCACUGCCUUGUUAAGAGUCCAAAAUUGACACAGCUGUUACUAGAAGUUCUUAUCACUUUCUUUUUUUCAAGUAAAGAAUAGUGGAAAUAAUUAUUGACUGGGUGGUGUGUAGGAGAGCUUGGUUCUUCUUCUGGCCAUUUGUAGAAGGCAAGUUAAAUCUCUACAGGCUUUAUAGGUCAACCUCUACACUGAAAGUUUCUGUUUUUUUUUAUUUGUUUGUUUUUAAAGCUCUCACAUUGAAUAUUCUGAUAGGAGACUACAAGAAUCACGUCAGGGCUGAGAAAAAAAAUCUUGUUAGGAGAUAUUCAAUACAAACAAAUUGACAGGUCAAGAAAGCAUGGUGAAAUGAGCAUUAGACGAGGACUCACCUAUAGCUACCCUGUAAGUUGCAGAAUGAUAUAAAUUCUUCAUUUGCAGCUUGGGAAACUGAGGUGUAGAGAGAGUGAAAAUACUGGUCAGCCCUACUUUCUCCUUAGAGCUUUUCAAGAUUCAAAUGAAAUGCCAGAUGUGGAAAUAACUUACUUUUAUGUUACUCAAUAGUCUUCAGGUUACUACUACUGGGUCUGCAAUUGCAUGUUAUGAUUUAAAACUUCCUUCUAGGCAUUGCAAUUUUUUAAACUUAGCCAAAUUUAUUUGAACAAAUCCAGUCUUUUAGAUUCUGUCAUAGUCAUACCCAAAUUUGUGGCAUUUCUCUUGUAUGUAUAGAUGUGCUUCACACUCAUCUGACAUCCCAUCAGUUGUUUUAUGACUCCACUUCCAGUUUGCCUACAGUAAACAAAAGCAUAUCUAUUUACAAAGUUUUUAUCUGUCCUUAUAAACUUUUGCUGAUCAAAUGCUGGUGAAAGCUUUAUAGAGACAACUAGUUUAUAGUAAGGAACCAAAUAAACAGUCACAGGAAGUAUUUUCCUAAGGACCUAAGUUUUACCUCACCAAGGCAGAAGAUUAAUCAAAUUAGCUGUUCUGCCCCUAGCUGAGAUGAGUAUUUGUUACUUCAGAGUUAAAAAAUAAAAGAAACAAGUAAGCAAUAAAUACAGUCUUGGGUUGCUUGUGUAUGGGGGAAAAUGACCUUCGAAACCCUAUAGUAACUGUUUAGCCCUAAGGCAAAAUAUUUGAUUAUAAUAAUCAUCUUAAUAUUCAUUAGUAACUGCAAAAUUAGGCACUAGUAAUUCAUCAAGCUACAGCAUUUAAAACCAGGACCUUAGGAGGCUGUCUUGCUUGCAUAUUUCUAAAGAAUUCAAUCCUUUUCGUUUAUCUUAAAUGUAGACUCUCACUUCUUGUUCUCACAAAAUUUUAGAAGUUCUCACUUCCAAAAUUCUCCUAUAUUUAAAAAAACUAUGAGACUGGUUAUAAAUAGAAGAAUGGACAAAAUGACAAGAACCACCUACCCACUAAAUCUUGUCAUGUGAUGUUCCUUGUAGAUCAUACUUACACCUUCUCUGAUCAUUAAUUAUGACCCAGUUCAAAGAAUGCUGCAGGUUCAGCACAGUUCCUUAUAUCCACAACUAAUUUCCCAACCUUUCUCAAAUUUCCACUCCAAUCUUAACUCUAUUUAUGAAAUAUGUAUAUUUUGGAUAGCAAAUUAAAAUUUAUUUUUUAUACUAAACUCAAUACCAACCCCCCUCUAAGAGCUGUAGCUCUUUCUUCCCUGGUGUCCAGGAGGCAAAACCUUGGCUGCUUUUCAGUGGCUGCUUGUUUUCCUUAGGUAUUAUAUCAAGCUUUCUGAAAUUCCAAGUAAACUACAUUUGCUUUGUUAGCCUUUCCAAAGCAUUUAAAAUGAUUCCAACGCUUUGAUUUUCCUUAAAUGGGAUUAGCAACCACUUGAUUUGAUAAAAUUAGAUGCUUCAUUAGUUUCUUUGGAACUGAAGAUAAGCUCAACUGCUUUCAAUGUCAGAGAGUUCUGAGCUUUAAUCUUAAUUUACAACAUGAAUAUGAAAACAUGAAAAAAGAAAGUUGUAAAAGGAAGCCAAGGAAGACUGUAUUUGCGGAAGGGUUUUUGAUUAUUUCAGUAAUUGCUGAAUUGUGGGGGGGGGGGUGGGUGGGUGGCAUAAUGAACCCAUCAUUUAUCACUAAUUUAUAAUUAAACUGAUUCUGAAAUUAGACUUUAGUAGCCAAAACUAAAGGCGACAAACUGAUGCCACUGCUAUUUUAGGAUUCCUUAUUUCUCACAAAGCUAUAUAAAUACUUGACUAAUGGGAUUACUUCUUAAUUGAGCUAGUUUCAAUUUUCAGGUCAAGAUUACUUAAAAUUUACUACACGUUACUAACAUUAUACAGGUGGACAGUAUUUCUUGUUAGUUAAAAUGUGGUUAAUCUGCAAACCACAAAUACAGCUCCUAUAAUUUCUUGCCUCUAGGUCCUCAAAUAAUUUCAAGGCUUUGUGUAAGGGCCCUGAAUCUUAGGUCCAGGUCUACCACUUCAGCCUAUGAGGUGAAUUAAGCCUUGUAUGUCUCUCUAGAUGUUGGAAGAAAAUAAUUCAUCCGUGGCUGUGCAGAAAUCCAUAGCUUUACAUGCUUACUUCCAACCAAAACACAUUUAUAAAGUAUGUGCAUGUUGCUAACCUUCUAGCUCUAAUUCCUCUGUCCCUUUAAGUGGAUGUUCUGAAAAUAACAACCAUUCACUUUGUCAUUUACUGUUCUGUAAAACACAAGGCAGAGGCCCAGGAACAGGGGCCCCAUCAGGAGCAGUGUUGUUUCUUCCAAAAUCUCACUUUAUUCUAGGUUGCCAUUACAGACAGUAAAAUAUAUUUAUGUGGCUCAAGUGUGACUUAACUCUGUAAAUUAUAUUGGGUCCUGGAAUGGCUUAAAGGCUCUUAUGGCCUAUUAUAUUUACUUCUGUUUAUACAAAUUGGUAAGAACCUACUGUAUUCUGGCUCUGAGCCCCCUCUAAGUUCCUUCCAUUUACAGUCACUUUUAUCAAAGAUAUAUUUUUACACCAAAGAUCCCUGGACAGUAUCAAUAAGGAAAAGGAAGGAAUAAUAGCCCAUUACAUUUUAUAUUCUCUUGUUCCCAACAAGCAUAAGAAAAAGCAGUUAUCUCUUUUUGAGUUGGUAGUUUAGAAUUUCCAGGAAUGCAGUGUUUUGGAAGAUGGAAGAACUCAUAACUAGUUGCUUUCAAGAGAAACUCUAGAUAAAGUAUUGCAUUAUUCUGCCCAUCUGCUUCUGGUGCAUUCCAUUUUAGCCACAGGCAAAGUAGAAAACUAGGUAGGGUUUGAGCCUUUCUGUUUAUCAUAUUUUAAAAGUUAAUCCAAAGGCAAUUCUUAAAAGAUGAACUAAAAAUGAAGUGUACCAAAACUCCAACCCACGCUUUACAAACGCCAAAAUGAGAAAUGUUCUACGAGGGAGACGUGAUGUAAUAACACAUGAGCUGGGUCUGGCCUCAGACGGCCUAAGGUCCAUUACAAGCUGUAGAGCUUUGGCUUGAAGAAACAAAGACAGCCAUCUCUAAACCUCGGUUUCUCUAAAAUGGUACUGUACCUCGCACAGUUGUCGAGAAUUCAAAUCCCAUACCCUAUGUAUAUCAGCCUGUCCAUAAUUAGUCACCCUGAGAAACUUUGCUUUCCUGGUCUAGACAGAAUGAAAGAAACUGAGUCUGGACCCUGCCCUGUAUAUGAAUUAGAAUUUGUGUGCUUUAAGCUGCCCUCCCAGGGCACACCAUGGUAAAGAGCAGGGAGCCUAGCUUGACUGUGUAGGUUCGGCUGGAUUAUUUUAAGCGUAUCAUUCACUCCCUCAGUGAAGUGAGGGAGUUAGACUAAAACACCUCUUGAUAUCUCUUCUAGCUUUAAAAUUCUACGCAAUCCACGGGGGAAGAAAUUCAAGAAACCUUGCAUACAUCAAAACACCAAAAACCCCACUUUCCUUAAAAAUGGUUUACAACGAACAGAUCACCAUCCCUGACAUUUCAGGUUUUGCAGUUCACAGUUCACAGUACGGAGGAAUGGGCUAAGUCACACUACAGCAGGCUCCCCUCCACGUCUAACAGAGGGGGCGGGGGGUUUUCUUGGAAGACUCGGCCAGUGUCAGGCAGCAAGGGGUAAGGGCUGUCUCGGUGGAGAAAGAAACCCAGGCUUCCGGGAACAUAAACUGGGGGAUGUAGGGGCAAAGCACCUGCUAAAUCUCGUUAGGGUUGGGACUUCAAAGAGGGUUGGGCCUGCUCUGAGAAACAGUGUGGGAAUCCCAGCCCCGACCUAAAGGCGACACGUUCACUGCCAAGGACUCAGAGGGAAAGCAGGGAGCGGGGAAUGGACGCGGGAGGUGGAUGCGAGAAAAAGGCCGAGUAGGGCCCCAGCCCCGGUCACUCACCACGAGCGGGAUGGAGCAGAUGAGCACCACCAGGGAGGUGGCAAUGAGUAAGAUGACCAUCUGGAUCUCGGCGCCCGCGAUGCGGCGGAAGCUCCGGCGGCGCCGAAAGUCGCUGAGGACGGUGGCGAGAAUGAGGAAGGAGCUGAAGCCC